UAGUGGGCCCAUAACUCAUAG
rnacentral:piRNA from 1 species